CAGGCCAGAUAGAAUUUUGCCCACCCCUGUCCUAAGCCAUGCAGCAUCAGAGCUACGGCCACUUCUGGGCUGAAGGGCAGCAGCUAUGUAGUCCACAGGUAUGCAGCUUAGAUGUGAACUCCAGCUGCACUGCAAAAAGGAACGUGAAACAUCUGACCAAGGAUGUGGGCAAAUAUUCACCCUUAUGAGAGCACAACAGUUCAGUAAGGGCUGAAAAGGACCUCAGCCAAUGCCACGAGAUUAAAAAAGCCUUUUUUGGGUAGCGAACCUUCAGGACAAAUAAUCACAUCAGAAUGUUCAUCGUGAUACCAGUACUACAUUUUCAUGGCUGUGCUACAAAAGCACAAUCUGCUUUUACAAAGCAUGAAAGAGAUUGAGAUGUUUGGGAAAUAUUUCACUUUGUAGAGAACAGACCUGUUUUAAAGGGUUCAGGGUACAUUCCUCUUGAAGAGGGAGGGAAAGACUAGGACCCUAACAGCACAUUGUUCAUGAGGGAGCCAUUUCAUUUUUACUAGAAUUUAUUGGAACAUUGAUCCACACAUUUUAAAACCUGAUUUUGUACAAGCUCGGAGAUUCUAAAUUGUUUUAAGAAACUACAUAUUGAUGUUGAAUUCAAUACAAAUGCCCCUUUGGAUCUUCCUGGUUUGAUAUCAGCUCCUAGUUCAAAAUGCUGAUCUCACUUUCAAAAUGCCAUGAGAGGAACUAUUGCAGGGAGAUGUUUUUGCCAUUGUUUUUAGAACUCUCCCUGGUGGGUACUAGGGGUUUAAGAAUAUUUUUUGCAUACUUUCUAUUGCAUUAAAUAGACCCUUUUAAACCCUGGACAACCAGGUUUUUCCUUUUCUUUUUGGCAGACAAUUACAGUGCUAAGUACUCAUACUGUUUGUCUGAUGAAAUCCUUCCCUUGUAGGUUAGCAUCCAACCCUUUAAGACAUUAACAGUACACAGUAAUAACUUCUAAUUAACAAGUUAUGGGGAACUGAAUAUAAAUGCCAUUCUGUUUCCCUUUCCAAGUAUGCAGGUACCUUCUCUGUUAAAGCCUGCUCCUCCUUCCCCCAGAAAAAACACCCUACUGCAGCUAAAACUUGCAUAAUGGCUUCUCUCUCUAGGUACUUAAUUCCCCUCCAAGGAUUUCCAGCUAUAAUGAAUUCAGAAUCAUUUUGCUGUGCCACAUGUUAUGGAUUUGUGCCAGUGCUGCUAUUAGCUGCAGUGCAAAGUACUUGG